rnacentral:rRNA from 1 species
ACUGCAAGUCGUGGGGCAGCAUGUCCCGCAGCAAUGCGGGAUGAUGGCGACCGGCAAACGGGUGCGGAACACGUACACAACCUUCCUUUAAGUGGGGAAUAGCCCAGAGAAAUUUGGAUUAAUACCCCGUAACAUUAUGAUGUGGCAUCACAUUAUAAUUAUAGCUACGGCGCUUAAUGAUGGGUGUGCGGCUGAUUAGAUAGUUGGCGGGGUAACGGCCCACCAAGUCUACGAUCAGUAACUGGUGUGAGAGCACGACCAGUCACACGGGCACUGAGACACGGGCCCGACUCCUACGGGAGGCAGCAGUAAGGAAUAUUGGUCAAUGGACGCAAGUCUGAACCAGCCAUGCCGCGUGGAGGAUGAAGGCCCUCUGGGUUGUAAACUUCUUUUAUAUGGGACGAAAAAGGGUCUUUCUAGAUCAACUGACGGUACUAUAUGAAUAAGCACCGGCUAACUCCGUGCCAGCAGCCGCGGUAAUACGGAGGGUGCAAGCGUUAUCCGGAUUCACUGGGUUUAAAGGGUGCGUAGGUGGAUUAGUAAGUCAGUGGUGAAAUCUCUGGGCUUAACCCGGAAACUGCCAUUGAUACUAUUAGUCUUGAAUACCGUGGAGGUCAGCGGAAUAUGUCAUGUAGCGGUGAAAUGCUUAGAUAUGACAUAGAACACCAAUUGCGAAGGCAGCUGGCUACACGAAUAUUGACACUCAGGCACGAAAGCGUGGUGAUCAAACAGGAUUAGAUACCCUGGUAGUCCACGCCCUAAACGAUGGAUACUCGACAUACGCGAUACACAGUGUGUGUCUGAGCGAAAGCAUUAGUAUCCCACCUGGGAAGUACGAUCGCAAGA